rnacentral:rRNA from 1 species
CGCAAGCCUGACGGAGCAAGACCGCGUGCGGGAUGACGGCCUAAUGGUUGUAAACCGCUUUUCUCUGGGAAGAUGAUGACGGUACCAGAGGAAUCAGCCUCGGCUAACUCCGUGCCAGCAGCCGCGGUAAUACGGAGGAGGCAAGCGUUAUCCGGAAUUAUUGGGCGUAAAGCGUCCGUAGGUGGUUAUUCAAGUCUGCUGUCAAAGCGUGGGGCUUAACUCCAUAGAGGCAGUGGAAACUGGAUGACUUGAGUGCGGUAGAGGUCGAGGGAAUUCCCAGUGUAGCGGUGAAAUGCGUAGAUAUUGGGAAGAACACCAGUGGCGAAAGCGCUCGACUGGGCCUGCACUGACACUGAGGGACGAAAGCUAGGGGAGCG